GAUGAACGCUAGCGGCAGGCUUAAUACAUGCAAGUCAAGGGGGUAGCAAUACAACCGGCGCACGGGUGAGUAACGCGUACACAACAUACCAUAUACUGGAGUAUAGCUUUGGGAAACUGAAGGUAAUCCUCCAUAACAUUGCGAGAGGGCAUCUGAUUGCAAUUAAAGUUUCGGCGGUAUAUGAUUGGUGUGCGUUUGAUUAGCUAGUUGGUAGGGUAACGGCCUACCAAGGCGACGAUCAAUAGCUGGCGUGAGGGCGCGACCAGCCACACUGGAACUGAGACACGGUCCAGACUCCUACGGGAGGCAGCAGUAGGGAAUAUUGGACAAUGGAGGAAACUCUGAUCCAGCCAUGCCGCGUGAUAGAUGAAGGCCCUCUGGGUUGUAAAUAUCUUUUAUCUGGGAAGAAACACUCCUAUUCUUAGGAACUUGACGGUACCAGAGGAAUAAGCACCGGCUAACUCCGUGCCAGCAGCCGCGGUAA
rnacentral:rRNA from 1 species